UCUUGUGUCCCUGUUGCGCAAUGGUUAGCGCGUUGGACUUUUAAUCCAAAACUUGUGGGUUCGAAUUCCACAUGAGAG